ACACUUACCUGGCAGGGGAGAUACCAUGAUAAAGGUGGGUUUCCCAGAGUGAGACUUAUCCAUUGUACUCCAGAUGUGCUGGCCCCUGAAGUUUCCCCAAAUAUAGGAAAUUCCAGAGUAAUUUGUGGUAGUGGGGACUGUGUUUGAUCUAUCCUAU